rnacentral:rRNA from 1 species
UGGGAAUCUUGCACAAUGGGCGAAAGCCUGAUGCAGCAACGCCGCGUGCGGGAAGACAGCCCUAGGGUUGUAAACCGCUUUCAGCAGGGAAGAAACUGACGGUACCUGCAGAAGAAGAUGCGGCCAACUACGUGCCAGCAGCCGCGGUGACACGUAGGCAUCAAGCGUUAUCCGGAUUUAUUGGGCGUAAAGAGCUCGUAGGCGGUUCGGUAAGUCGGGUGUGAAAAUCUCUGGGCUCAACCCAGAGAGGCCACUCGAUACUGCUGUGACUAGAGUGCGGUAGGGGUAGCGGGGAAUUCCUGGUGUAGCGGUGAAAUGCGCAGAUAUCAGGAGGAACACCAGUGGCGAAGGCGCCGCUCUGGGCCGUAACUGACGCUGAGGAGCGAAAGCAUGGGUAGCAAACAGGAUUAGAUA